rnacentral:rRNA from 1 species
AGAGUUUGAUCAUGGCUCAGGACGAACGCUGGCGGCGUGCUUAACACAUGCAAGUCGAGCGGUAAGGCCCUUUCGGGGGUACACGAGCGGCGAACGGGUGAGUAACACGUGAGUAAUCUGCCCUCCACUUUGGGAUAAGCCUCGGAAACGGGGUCUAAUACCGGAUAUGAGCUUCCUGCGCAUGUGGGUUGUUGGAAAGUUUUUCGGUGGGGGAUGUGCUCGCGGCCUAUCAGCUUGUUGGUGGGGUAAUGGCCUACCAAGGCUUCGACGGGUAGCCGGCCUGAGAGGGUGACCGGCCACACUGGGACUGAGACACGGCCCAGACUCCUACGGGAGGCAGCAGUGGGGAAUAUUGGACAAUGGGCGGAAGCCUGAUCCAGCAACGCCGCGUGAGGGAUGACGGCCUUCGGGUUGUAAACCUCUUUCACCUCCGACGAAGCGAAAGUGACGGUAGGGGGAGAAGAAGCACCGGCCAACUACGUGCCAGCAGCCGCGGUAAUACGUAGGGUGCGAGCGUUGUCCGGAAUUAUUGGGCGUAAAGGGCUCGUAGGCGGUUUGUCGCGUCGGGAGUGAAAACACCGGGCUUAACUCGGUGCUGGCUUCCGAUACGGGCAGACUAGAGGUAUUCAGGGGAGAACGGAAUUCCUGGUGCAGCGGUGAAAUGCGCAGAUAUCAGGAGGAACACCGGUGGCGAAGGCGGUUCUCUGGGAAUUACCUGACGCCGAGGAGCGAAAGUGUGGGGAGCGAACAGGAUUAGAUACCCUGGUAGUCCACACCGUAAACGUU